rnacentral:rRNA from 1 species
AGCAGCCGCGGUAAUUCCAGCUCCAAUAGCGUAUAUUAAAGUUGUUGCAGUUAAAAGCUCGUAGUUGAAUUUCGGGAUCAAUCUAUCGGUCGUGCAAUAGUACGUACUGAUUUUAUUGAUUCCUACCUUCUGAUGAACUAUGAUGUCAUUAAUUUGGUGUCAUAGGGAAUCAGGACUGUUACUUUGAAAAAUUAGAGUGUUUAAAGCAGGCUCACGCUUGAAUACAUUAGCAUGGAAUAACGAAAUAGGACGUUUGAUUCUAUUUUGUUGGUUUCUAGGAUCGACGUAAUGAUUAAUAGGGAUAGUUGGGGGCAUUAGUAUUCAAUUGUCAGAGGUGAAAUUCUUGGAUUUAUUGAAGACUAACUACUGCGAAAGCAUUUGCCAAGGAUGUUUUCAUUAAUCAAGAACGAAGUUAGGGGAUCGAAGACGAUCAGAUACCGUCGUAGUCUUAACCAUAAACUAUGCCGACUAGGGAUCGGAUGAUGUUAAUUUUUUAAUGACUCAUUCGGCGCCUUAUCGG